AUGCUUUUGGACAUAAAGAUGACCUUGACACAGGCACUGACUCUUUCUUCUUUGUAGUAAGUGCUACUUGUUGGGGUAUUUUUGGUGU
rnacentral:pre_miRNA from 1 species